GGAUAUGAGGACAAUGUGGCCGGAACAUCUGUCACCUCUUUGAUUGCCCGGAUUGAUUUGGCUGAUCCGCUGGCCAGGAAGACAUUCCCUUCCUUUCUCCCAGCACUGUGUGUCCUUCUGAAAGCUGCACACUCAGUUGAAGAGCAUGAUCUAAUUCCUUAUUACUCAAUGCGUGGUCUGCGGACAAACCCCAUGGACAUUUUAUAUUCAGGAACUUGUGAGGACUGGAAGCCUCAAAAUCCUUCUUUGGCCUAACAAACUGGAAGCUACAUUU
rnacentral:sRNA from 1 species